rnacentral:rRNA from 1 species
GACGUAGGGCGCAAGCGUUGUCCGGAAUUAUUGGGCGUAAAGAGCUCGUAGGCGGCUUGUUGCGUCGACUGUGAAAACCCGUGGCUCAACCAUGUGGUCUGCAGUCGAUACGGGCAGGCUAGAAUUCGGUAGGGGAGACUGGAAUUCCUGGUGUAGCGGUGAAAUGCGCAGAUAUCAGGAGGAACACCGGUGGCGAAGGCGGGUCUCUGGGCCGAUAUUGACGCUGAGGAGCGAAAGCGUGGGGAGCGAACAGG